rnacentral:sRNA from 1 species
AGUGCAGAAUGAUCACUCAGGCGGCUAGAGGGCACAAGCCGGGAGCGGGAGCCGAGCAGAAACCUAUUGCCUCACCCUUGAGAGAUGAUCAGGGCUGAGGUGCGAUGGAGGGGAAGGAAUGGAUGCACGAGGCUUUGGAGGGCGGGCGGCACGCACGGGGCACGGUGACCUCACACAAGCCCGCUUGGCAGGCCUGUCUCUAGGUCACAGAGAAAAUGGACGUGGUACACUUUGGAAAGCGUGGAACACCUCGCCCUGGCAGGGGCUAGUUUGAACUGGAUCCUGAAAUGCAUGCAGCCUCUCUCAUCUCCUCCCGGGAGUCUCUCCUCCCUGCUUUCCUUGCCUACAUAGCCUCUUUUUCUAGCCAACUUCACCUCCUAAAAGCACUGAGCAUGACCUGCAAGGAGUAGCUGCAUUAGCUUCCCGACCCUUGCCUGCCUCUGUCAUCCACUGGAAGACUCUACAACAACCAGCUCUGCUACCCAGAGCCACAGGUGAAAAGAACCAAGUGCCUUGAAACAGGAUGGUCUGUCAGCCUUAAGGAAACAGCAGUUUUGAAGGGAGCAAAAUCAACAAUGCAUGGUGGGUAGCAAAGUCAUUCUGCAGUGUCAAAAGGGCUGGACAUCCCGACAUGUGCUCUGUACCCUCAGCAGAUGUUCCUGGAGGCCAAGAUCUGUCUUUCCAACUCCUGAGCAGCAGCUGCCGUCACUCUUCAAGGUCACUCGUUUGGCCAGCACCUCAUCAUUUGCUUUGUCUGUCCCAACAACACUUUGUCCAUACUUCUGUGAUGCAGGCAACCUGUAUCACUGAGGCCAUCUGUAUCCCAACAGAUGCAAGUUAAAGCCAAAAAGGCACCAUGUGCCUUAGGAUCUGGGUGCCUUUCAUGUCUCCAAGCAUGGGGCCUGUGGUGUGGACAAGGAACAGUUUGGGGAAAUGAGACCCAGAGCAGUGUCCUCCAUAACUCUCCCUCAGGUGACCUGACACUCGGCACCCUGUUGCCUCAUGAGGACCCCCAACUCCACACUUACACCAGCAUCUCCUGUAAGCCUAAUCCAAGAACAACCCAGAUGAGAGAUGCAAACUAGCUGCUCAAUAAAAUGCCAGUUGAACAAA